UAACCUCUGCAGGCUGUCUGGCCCCCAGGCUGGGCUGGGUGGGUAUCUCUCUUCAAAAGACUUAUCCUCAAGCAAAACUAGGAGU
rnacentral:pre_miRNA from 1 species